UACGGGGGGGGCAAGCGUUGUUCGGAAUUAUUGGGCGUAAAGGGCUCGUAGGCGGUUCGUCGCGUCGGGAGUGAAAACUCGGAGCUCAACCUCAGGCCUGCAGUCGAUACGAGCAGACUAGAGUGUUGCAGGGGAGACUGGAAUUCCUGGUGUAGCGGUGAAAUGCGCAGAUAUCAGGAGGAACACCGGUGGCGAAGGCGGGUCUCUGGGCCGAUACUGACGCUGAGGAGCGAAAGCCGUGGGGAGCAAACAGG
rnacentral:rRNA from 1 species